GACGGAGGGUGCAAGCGUUGUUCGGAAUUACUGGGCGUAAAGCGCGGGCAGGUGGCCCUUUAAGUCCUUUGUGAAACUCCGGAGCUCAACUCCGGACGUGCAUAGGAUACUGGAGGGCUAGAGACUGGUAGAGGCGAGCGGAAUUCCUGGUGUAGCGGUGGAAUGCGUAGAUAUCAGGAAGAACACCGGUGGCGAAGGCGGCUCGCUGGGCCAGUUCUGACACUCGAUCCGCGAAAAGCGUGGGGGAGCAAACAGG
rnacentral:rRNA from 1 species